ensembl:lncRNA
UCCUGCCCAGCUACAUCAGAUCAGCCAACAACUUUGUAAUUGCUAAAAACAGCCUGUUGAUUUUCCUCCUAAGUGCUUCAGCUGGCCUGGCUGAGCUUUCUCUUUUCCACUGUCUUGAGAUGUUUCUCUCAUUGUGCACUACGCCGUAUUUUUAUGGUCAACAUAUCCUAUAGCAAACAAUUUCAGGCUGAUGGCGGAAGGGAGAUUGGAUUCAGAUCGGAGAUUUGAGCCCCGGAUGGGGAGCCAGGAACGCCUCAGUUCCUGGACCAGAUCUGCCACUAAAUCAGGAAUCCACAUAAAGCAAAGCCACAUGACGAGCAACUGCAGGAUGAUUUGAUUUUUGUGUGCAGAGGAGGAAGCGAGUGUUUGAACACGGCUCUCGCCUUGGUGCGCCCGCUGCAACUGGAGCCGCCAUUACAGGACUGCAGCAGGAGCUUGCUGCAUCUUGGCUUUCUAUUUAGAGUGAGAAUGAGAGGAAUUGAGAAUCCCCCUGUUCUGCGCAAAGCCCAGGAGAAGGAAGAGAUGCAGGAGGAGUUGCCUGUCUCCAGCCACUGCCCAGGCACAGGGGACAGAGGCACACCCACAGCCACUGUGGCGCAGCUGAGUUCCUCCACAGCCAGAAAUGGUGGGAGAAAACUCUGGUGCUGAGUCACAUUUCCUUCCCAUGGGCUCAUGCUGGGAUGGAUGGAUGCGCCUGCCCUGUGCCUGCAGGGCCUCACUGCAUGGCUCCUGCUGGGUGAGCGUGCUGGACUGAUCGAGGUGGACGCAGUGGUCCCCGUCAGAUGUGUGCCAAAUUGAAAUGCCAGCAGCUGUGUGAGCAGCGGGAUAAUCGUAUCUGCUGCUUCUCUCUUCCAAGUCCUGGCAUUCCCAUUUCAGCAAUGGUGUGUCCGUGCUCAGCUCCGCGGGAGGAAAUCCACUGACCGAAGCCAUGCUGACGCCUGGGGGAUGCGGUUACAUGUUCAUCAGUCACCUGUCUGACUGUGGACCCACUGGGAACAAAAUAAAAAGGUGUCGUAUGUGGUUUCAUGGCAGCAGGGAGGUGACAGCACACAUGGGCUGAGAAGCAGAAAUCCCCUUCAACAGCAGAGACUAUCUCUGCCAGCAGGUAGAGAAGAGGUUGUUCGUCUGAAGAAAGAAGGGUGUGGUGGAAAUACUUCAUGCCAGUCAAGUCAACCAAAAUACUACCUGAGUUACAAAGCAUGCUGGAAAACAAAAUUAAACAGAAGAUCUGGGCCCCACCUGUGCUCUCCCAGGAGAGACUGAGAGAAAAGGAGUUCUGGGAGCUGGGAACACACAGCUCCCUGCAGCAGCUGCACUAUGGAAUUCACCCUGGAUGAAUGGGAAUGCCAAUGUCUUCACCUCCUGAAGAGAGGACACAGCUCUCAGACUGAAUUAGCCACAGCUGGAUAGGUUGUUUUGAAAUCUCCACAAUUUUCAGACCUGGAAGAUUUUUCCAUCAUGCUGGCCUGGGGUAGGCAUUUGGUGGGUGAGUAAACUAUAAUUUGUUUUGUUUUGCCUUAUGAAGUAAGUGUAGAAAAUACACCAAAGUAGCUGGUCACAUAUUUGGACCUGGGCUUCUCACGAAAGUUCUGCAAAACCCUCUCAAAUGUCUGAAUAUUUACUAAGUAGGUCACGAAAUAUUUUCCAACAACAAAAAUACAAAUACAAAAAUACAAUAGAGUAAUCCUAUUGGGAUGUAGUUAUGUGCUAAUGACUUUAUUUUCUUCUUCCUCCUGUUCAGGCAGUAACAUGCAAAGUGACCACAGCACUGUUGUGAAAUUGCUGAUUAACCUUUUGACUCUGACAAUUGGGACUUCUCUUAACACCAAUUGGUAAUGCAAAAGACCAUUAGUAGUUAAUAUUGGGACACCCCACCUCCAGAUGCCAAAAGGUUAAUGAAAAAGCAAGUAUCUUGCUUUUACUGGGAAACUUGGAAACCUUCCCACCAAACAUUUCAUUUUUUGUGAUAAACAAGCCAGACCGCUUCAGCUGAGAAAGACGGGUGUUUUGCUAAUGUGUACAGCUGUUAAUUGAAAAAGAUUCUGUUAUGCCUGUUCUUCUGGACAUAGAUAAAAGAGAGAUUUGUUGGUGAACUUUAGUUGGUCCUGAACACCCCUUUGUCAAAAUACACUGCUCAAUAAUAACGCUUUGUUCUGUCUGUAACAGCCACGGAAGGAUUUUGAGUGGAAUACUCAUUUUCUUUAAGUCAUAUCUGCCAGUGAUCAUUCUUGGCUUAAGAUCAGCUGCCAUUUAUGUGUUUUAUGAAAAUAUAACACCAGUUUUAUGCUCAAAACUAUUCUUUUUUAGGUAAAAGCUUCAGCACAAACUGGUUCCCCAUAUGUACCAUAAAUGCUAUUUAUCACAGGUUUUGGUCUUUAAAACAGAAUGAUAAUGUUAAAACAUUUUCAUUACCCUUUCCUUACAGCUAUCAUUCACAAACCAUCUUUUAUAAUUAUGGUACUGGGACAUUUACAUAACUGGGAAAAAGGUCCUUAAACUACAUUUCUAUUAUGUUUGGCACUUGUGUGAAAGGAUAUUAUAUUCAUGUGCAUUAGAGAUUGCUUAUAAAAGAUCAAGACAAUAAUAGCAGAUCAGACGAUAAAGGUUCCCUUUUCUCCUCCCAGACAGGCUGUCUCUGACAGAAGAAUACAGUUCAUCAAAAGUGUCUGCAGGUUGUCAAACUCAGUGAGAUUUGGGGACACUCGGAGGCUGUCAUGGCCAACAAGAAGAUUUUCUGUAGGGUUCUGCCAUCAUUCACCCUCAGGAAAUAAUCACUCACUACAUUCUGCAUGCUCUCAUGAUAGAGCUCUAUUUGAGAGAAAAGAGCCAUUUUAUCAAAGGACAAUAUAUCCCUUCUCUUGGUCCAUGCAGCUUCCAUUAUCAGACCAUAAUAAAUCAUAUUUAUGUUCUCAGUUAAUAAGACUGAUUACAAUGCAGGUUACAGGCAUGGGAAAAGCAAAGCAGGUGAAAAGAUGUUUUAAUGAAAAUAUGAUAAGCAAACAGCUUCUUGUGAACAUUUCAGGCUGUUAUUUGUAAUGAUCACAGGCAAUUUUUGAUACAUCUUCUUUAGCAAUGGUUUAAGCUGCAUAAAUUGGCUUGCCACUUUAUACGUCGAAAUAGGAAGAAUCCCAGUGUCCUUCUUAUGUUGUCUAGAAUCAUUAUAUACAUUAUAAGCAUAAAAUGAGUUUAAUGUAUGUGCUUUGAAAAGAUGGGGAAAACAGAAAAUCAGGGAGGACUGAUUUUAAUGCUGCUCAAAAUGAUUUUGAAAUUUUCUGCACAUCUUUGUUACUAACGGUGCAUUUUCCAUGAAAUUUAGGGAUGACAUGUGGUGCUUUCAUCUCCUUAAAAUUAAUAUACUUCUCUUUCUGUUUUUCUCAGUUUCUUCAAAGUUCUUUUUAGAACACUGUGCAAAGAGACAGAGAGAAAAUUCUCCACUCGAUGUGUGAACAUAUCUGUUAUUAAUGCUGGGGGGGAGUUAAGUGUGUGCUUCUAGAGGAGAAUAUACCCCUGCGUUAAACACUGAAAUCAACCCUAUCAAAAAGGUGCAAGGAUAUUUAGCUGCAGCACACCUGAUGCAUUCAAGGGCCAAAUUCCUUAGAAUCUUUUAAAGUGAUCAAGAUCUCUUGUUAAGAGCGCUACAAUGAUUUCAGAAUAUAACUGUACUGAAGUAGCCGAGGAAGUGUCUUGCUCUUGUCUCGUGAAAAGCUUUCUUUUAUGUUUUAUUGUUGUUUUCUUUUUUUGCUGUAGUCAUUUGGUUUAUGUUUAGCAUCAUACUUUCAAGACAAAGUUAAAAAUUUAAAGAAUAAUUUCUUCCUGCUAGCACAUAAUGCUGACUAAGUAUUUCAAAAUCUACAGCACUUGCAGAAUGCAAGCAUUAUGCUUAUAAUGUAUAUAAUGAUUCCAGACAAUAUGAGAAGGACACUGGGAUUCUUCCUACUUUGAUAUAUAAAGUGGUGAGCAAACGCAGAAGUCUCCAUGGUGUUGUGUGUCUGCGGGAGCUGUUCUGGUCACUGAUACUUCUAAAGCUCCCUUAAACAAAUGUUAAAGCUUUGUAAUGGGCCUGGCAAUGGAGAAUGGCCAUGAAAUUCCCUUAACCCUUUUAGGGCACUUCAGCAGGAGAAGUGAUCACACAAGAAACAGUAAACUGCGCUUCAAAGGCAGCAUCCUGAUAUGACAACAGAUGUAGAUAAUGCACUUCAUGAUGAAACUGCUUGAUACAGAGAAAAACACAUUGUAACUGCCUUCACCCUGAAAGGGGUUUAAAAAUGCUGCCUGCCAACUCCACAAAAAACAGAGCUGCUAUUUCAGCUAAAGGCCAGUGGAUUGUAUUUUUCGUGUCAGUUUUCACUAACCUCAAACAUCACUGUUAUGACAGACUGUCAUCCAACCAAGCCAGCACUGUGGUGCCAUUCAGGCAAGAAAGAAGAAAGCAAACACAAAGGAAACUUAGAAGUCCGAGCAGUAAGAGCGGGUGUCUGUGAGUGCACUUUUGUGCAGCGAUACUGAUUACUGAAAAUGAAACACUUAAAAGAAAACAAACCCAAAAAAGUGAUUUCUGAGCCAUUGGUGUUUUCUUGCCUGGCAAUUUCUCUUUGUUCUGUUUCAUGACAUCAGCCUCAGUGGUUGAAAGGGUGUUCUGGGCCAGAUGUCAAUCACUAUGUCUGACAUAAACAAAAAUAGCUAAAAAGACAUGCCAGCAUCUUCCUUUUGUUUUCCCAUUAGCUCCAUUUUUCUUUUCAGAGGCUGACAAAAAAUUACUGCCUCCGAGUGAAUUCAGUAAUGUCACUAUAUAUCUAAUAUCUAGGAGACCUUUUGUUUUAGCUUUACUGGGCUUAACCACAAAAGACACUUGACAUUGACAAAGAGUCUGUCAAAUACACAAUGAUCAGUGCAGUGAAAUCUCUCAUGACAGAAGGGCACUAUUCUGCACCCCCAGCCUGCAGCAGCCUAUCUGAGUAAAAUGUGCUGGAGCACACGCAGCAGCUGAACCAUUGCAGAGCAGGCCAUAAGCUGAGAUGUGUCUUGUUUAAAGUGUCAUAGUAUAUUAGUGUAAUUAAAACCGCCAAAAGAAUAGAAAAGAUAGAUGGAAAUGUUACAUUACUUGUUUCUAGAGAUUAACCUCCAGCCAGAACUGAAAUACAGAGACACAUUUUGCAUGUCUUAGAGCUCUGAUAUGGAAGAAAACAAGCCUGAGUGUAUGUCUCUUGAAGUGUGAGACAUGAAGUCAUAGUUCCUGUAUUUACACAAUAAAGCAGAAACAGCGCUUCAGACAGGCACGCUGUUUUCUCUCUGAUUACAGCUCCCGUUGUGGCUGUACUCUGCAAAGCAGCUGUAUCAUCUCUCAGCUACUUCCCUUUUACUCUCACUGCCUUCGUGCUUGGAAGGUCUUGAGGACCCUUGGGCCUACUGAUGUGCUGGUGUCAAUGCCUUCUGCUCCCUUGGCAUCUGCCAGCGUUGCGUGGGCCCAGCCUAGAGGCAGAGCACCCUGUCCCUAUGGUGUCUGCAGAAGACACAGCUCAGCUCCAGACUCAGCAACACCCAGCUAGGAAGAUGUUUGAAGAAUGGCUUCAGUCUGACCUUUAUAUACCAGGCUGCAUGCUUGCUUCUCUGUUGAGUCUAUAGAUAAAACUGCAUGGCUUUCUGAAAUUGACUCUGAAAAUUAUGUUCCCAGCACUGCAUGUUUUCCUUCCCAUGCAUCAUUACCUGUGAUAACUAUUCAAGUUACGAUCUCUGUUCUAACCAUGAGGCAAGUUAUAUCUGGUGGUGAAAAACCCUUGGAGUUUUUAUGGACCUGUUCAGCUGUGUUGGCUGAACGUUGGUUUAUCCAGUAUCUGGAGAGGACCUCGUCUGGCUUCAGCAGUUCUGAAACAUACAAAAGCGGCAUGGCUUUCUUCUAAUGUAAGCCUUACAUUCAAGGAAAAGAUGCAUUAAUCAGGUAGGUCUCAUGUUCAUUUCUUCCACUAGAAAUGAACUUCAAGGCCUUGCCCCAUUAGUUGAUCACUUUGACGUCAAGAGAUGUUAAAUAUAGGUCUUACAUUUUAGGUUUCCUCAUGCUUCCUCUAUUUCCCAGCUUUAAAUAUCAGUUAAUGACUUCUCCAUAUAGCACUUCUCUUUAAUUUCUGGUCAGAGGCUGUAAAUGUGCACCGUUAGUCAAAAAUAUGUUAUCUGCUGUUAGUGUUGGCUUCUGGAGCCCUCACCACCAAGUUACCUCGCAGUCGCAUCUCUCCUCACAUGAUUUUCUGAGUACUGCCAGGAGAAGAAUGGAAAAUAACUAUGAAAUAAAAGCAGAUUCUGCUCCCAUUACAGGCAAUGAAAACUGUGCUUUUACUUCUACUUACUCAUAAUAGUGGGGGGAAAAAAUGAAGUGGAAACGAGCACAACAAAACACCUCUGCCAGCUAUCUAUAAGCUAACCAAGGCUUCCACUAAUGAGGUGGUCUGGCAUUUUGAGAAAGACAGGUUUUUCCAGAAAUGGAAAAAAUAUGCUGUUUUUUUUUUCCUUCAACUCUGAGAGCAUAGCAAGAGAGUAAGAAAUUGUAUUUCAAAAAGGGAUAGCAAACUUUUAAUGCUGUCUGUAUUAGUUAAUACUUACAGACACCGGUACAGUUUCUUGUCAGCUAGAUGUUUUUGCAUAUUUGUUUGUUAGAUUACUAAAUACUUUCCUAAAAAGUGGUUAUUUGCUGUAUUUACAGAUUCAUCUCAGUGACUGUGAAAUUCCUGAGGAUGUUAUUACUUUCAAGUCAGAUUAACGGAGUAAUUUCCAGACAACCAUGCUACCAGAAUACAUGAUACUACUCUUAAAGUGGACCUCAGAAACUUUGAGAAAGAAAAUGAUUCCAUCUUUUUUGAUCAGGUUCUUCCUCUACAGGAGUUCCUGCAGCUACAGGACCAGGAGAUGUCCGAGGUCAAGAAAAGGUUAAAGUUGUUCACUGCUUUCAAGCUCUGGCCUUAGAAGUUAAUUCAGUGCUGUGCUGCGAGAGCUACAGAGUAAAUCCUUGGAACAGUGAAUUGCUGGUUUGAUAUCAAGCUCACGUCAACAUUUCUAUCAGAAAGAAUCACCAUAAUCACCAGAUAUAUUAGCAGAAACUGCUCCUUCCCAUUGACCACAUACGCCAAAAUCCUUGGAAACUCUUAAGCCGUGGACUUCCCCUGAAGACAUACAGAGAAAAUGGCUCAAGCAAACACUCCUCCCUUCCUUCAGUGGAGCCCAGGUCAGCUGUGACAAGCAUCUGCUCUGUGGGUAGGUGCAAAAUACACGACAAAGAUAUCGGCCGUGGAUCCCUUCUGUAAACGAUGACCUCAUCCGGAGGUUAUGGGACCUUCACGAGGAUACCAGUCGUACUCCUCCAUGGCGAUGUGUUACAGUAAGUAAUUCGCUUCCUGGAUGCACUUGUAACAGGCAGCUAUCCUAACAACACAGGAUACGCAGACAUGUCCAGGUCUUUAAAAAGUCUUCCAAUGCAAUUAUUAAGGUAUUACGUGCUGAUAAUGCCACCAAAAACAUUGAGCAUGCUGUUCAUUCAGUUGGGCAUGAAACUACUUCCUUCUGAAUAUUUUAAAUGUACUUGGCUAAUUAAUUAAACAAUUAAUAAGGGCUACAGUUAAGUUUCUGUUUUUCAUUGUAACAAAUUAUUCCAGAGCAUUGUUUUUACUGAAUUCUGCAUAGGACUCUUUUUGGACACCACACCGAAGUGCAGCUACGAUGUUAAAAGAAAAAUGUUCCUUUGACAAAUGAAAUCUUUAAAAUGGCAACAAGCAAGGAAAAAGUCAGCUCUGAGUGGAAAACAUUUAAUAUGUUUUGAUGAUUUCUUAUCUCAGACAGAAGAGAAGACAAGUUGAUUUUCUCUGCUGAAACUUUUUGAAGUGAGUUCUGACUGAAAAGAUGUGGUGGUGUUUUAACAAAAACAUAUUGUUAUAAAACAUGAUGUAUGCUCAGAAGUAUUAAUGUGUACCUCUCUGCUUCAGGUUUGAACAUUUCAGUCGAGUGAACUAGCCUGUUCCAUUUAUUUUUUAAAUUCUUAUCCAGUUGAUCUUUUUUUUGUUGUUCUUUAAGUUUACAGUAGUUCAAUGGCUACUUUUAUCUCUGAUUUAGGCUUUCAAACAGCACCAAACUCUGCCGUCCCAUCCUGUAAUCUGUCCAUUUAUUAUGGUGACUGGUGAACAGAGGCAACAUGUUAGUGCAAGCACUGUAAAAAUAUCUGUGGAGAAAACAUUCUUUCACUCUAAAGGAUAAGUUCCAUAAGAAUGUAUAUUCUCCAGUAUUUGCAAAAGUACGGUACGGAUUUUUCUUGUUAAAGGUGGCAAUGUCUGAAUCGCAAAUAAUUUCACGUUUAUAUGAGAGACAAUAUAUCAUUUUACAGAUCUGUAAUCAUGGAAAUCAAUGGCCAGUAUCCAUUUAAGAAAAUCGAAAUAAUUUAACUGAUUUACUUAAACAAUGCCUUGUUAGACUACGGAAUUUAAAGUCCUCUUUCAAAAUGAAGGUUGUUUUAAGUAGUGAACUUAUUAUUACAUACUACAUUCUAGUGGCACGUAAACACUUCUGAUUUAAAACAUGAAUUCCGUGUAAGUUCAAACUGAUGUCUUUGACUUUAGUUACAGAACUCAAUUUCAGGACUUUCUGCUGCUGGUGGCUGUAUAUCAGUUCUUCCAAUAGGGAUGUGCUCAGGACAAAUUAGUGAACGUAAUUUUAGCUGUAUGAGGUCAUUACAAAUACAGCCUUAGCUCUUCCUAGAGUGGACUUCAUUGUUAAUAUAAAUAUAUAUCUAUAGUUACUGACAUUUAUAUUAUUUGGCUCCUGUCCUAAGUUAUGGAUACAGUGAUGAUAAAAGCCCUUACCUAAGUGAGUCAUGCUUACUAAUUACUUCCAUGGUACUGGGUUCCUGUAAAUAAAGUUACUCAUGUAUUUAUAAGCAAGUCAAAAUUUAUACAUAUGUUUCUAAGAGUGAGUUAUCUUUCUCUCUGGGGCAAACAGCACAGUCUGCUGUUUGGAAAAGAACACUGAGAGUAAGGACAUCCAGGGUGCUUCCUCGCUUCUGCAAGGGUGCGUGCUCUCCUCUGCCAUUGGAUAUCCAACUAAAAUACUUAAUUUGGUCACAUUUUUUAAACUGUUUAAGACCCUUCUGCAUUACUUCAAGGUAGGAAAUGGCUGUUGAUUUUUCCUCGCUGUUUCCAAAGAGGCUGCGGUAAGAGGGUUUCAGUCUAAUUGUUUGCUCUAAAGAUGUAGCGUUCAAGACACAAAGCCUAGCAGUGUGACGUGGAAGAUCUCAAGACAAAGCAGCAGCCUCAACAUCUCUCUCUAAUGAGAACAGGAAAAGACAAUUGAGAUCCCGUAGGAAUGCAGUAUAUUUAGGAGAGAAGCAGAGCUCCUUUCACGAAUGGAGAGAAAACCCUGGUGAAUGCUGGACUACCUGCUAUCUCUGGGUGUGACUAGGUGAGUGAAGGAUUUGGAUCACAGCCUGUAACGUUUUCCAGACAUUUAGAGUGCAACUACUACAACUACUACGCCAGCAAUUUUAUGCCUUCCUUUCCCUGACUCCAACAGUAUGUGAGAUAAGCAGCCAGAUUUUCUUCUGCAUUGUGUUUUUUUAUCCAUUCAGCCAAAAUUAACAGUCUUCAAGGAUAAUGUAUGCCAAGCGAAUUUAAAUCUUGCGGACUCAAAUCGACCUAAAGUUGAUGGAUACAUUCAUGCCUACUGCUGAAAUCUACCAAUUACACAGAACUAUGCUAACUUACCAUAGAAACAUCUCAUCUAAUAGCACAGAUGAUGUUGAACUAACUAAUUACAUUAUGGCACAUAGACAAUGAAAAACAUAACGAAGAUGACAGCACAGCAACAACAGAUGCUGCACAAAAGAAAAAUUAGAAAAAUAUUGCUCUGCAAAAUGCUGUCUGUUAAGGUUUCUUCUGUUAAAAUUAAUCACAAAAAUUAGUGAAGAUUAGAUUUCAGCAGAAGAUACGAGCAUUGUAAUGCUAUUUGGAAAACGUCAUUAAACCAUUUAAAGUCCUACUCUUUCAGAAGGUAAUUCCCCCCCUUUUUUUUUUGUAUCACUGUCGGCUUUAAGAUGAGUAAACAGUUCAGUGCCGAUGGCAGAGUUUCUUGGGAGGAUGUCUUUCCCAGUGAGGAGAGGUCCCGAUGGCUCUUCCAGAGCCGUGUUUGGUAGCUUCCAGCCAUUAGAGCUUAGAUAAUUAGGCAACUCAGAUUUUAUUUUAGCUUGGCAUUUGCUCUGUUCUGUGCUCUUGGCUGUCAGUGACAGUUGAUUAUCUGUAGCGUGCCUUGUUACUUUAUAUAUUUUAAACUGUAACAGAUCCUAAAUACCAAAUCUGAAACUGCUGAGUAUGUUUAAAUGUAAUAUAUACAUGGGGAUUACAUCCAGAUGAUGUACUUCAUAGACCUGUGAUAAAAAAAAAUGCAUCACUUCUAGCCCACGCCGGUCCUCACCCCCUCCCCCGGUAGCUUUCCAUGAGCUCCCGGCUGCUUCAGCACCGAUCCUGAACGUAAUCCAGCUGAUGGAGAGAGACAGAAAGGGGCUUUUCCCCUAAAUAUAUAUUUCCUCUAAAAAUACCUCUGAUGCUGCUCAAGUUUCAAUACCUUACUGGCUUUAUAAGAAAGCAAAACAUAUAUUUGA